rnacentral:rRNA from 1 species
UACGUAGGGGCCAAGCGUUGUCCGGAUUUAUUGGGCGUAAAGAGCUCGUAGGUGGUUCAGUAAGUGAGCUGUGAAAUCUCCGCGCUCAACGCGGAGGGGUCAGCUCAUACUGCUGUGACUUGAGUCCGGUAGGGGAGUGCGGAAUUCCUGGUGUAGCGGUGAAAUGCGCAGAUAUCAGGAGGAACACCAGUGGCGAAGGCGGCACUCUGGGCCGGUACUGACACUGAGGAGCGAAAGCGUGGGGAGCGAACAGG